rnacentral:rRNA from 1 species
UACGUAGGUGGCAAGCGUUGUUCGGAAUUAUUGGGCGUAAAGGGUGAGUAGGCGGUUUGUUAAGUCGGUCGUGAAAGCCCGGGGCUCAACCCCGGAGGGUCGACCGAUACUGGCAGGCUAGAGUACAGAAGAGGUAACUGGAAUUCCCGGUGUAGCGGUGAAAUGCGCAGAUAUCAGGAGGAACACCGAUUGCGAAGGCAGCUCGCUGGGACGUAACUGACGCUGAGACGCGAAAGCGUGGGGAGCAAACAGG